rnacentral:siRNA from 1 species
UAAGAUGGUGGGACACUGGUU